rnacentral:rRNA from 1 species
UACGUAGGCAGCAAGCGUUGUUCGGAAUUACUGGGCGUAAAGAGUGUGUAGGCGGUGUUCCAAGUCUGGUGUGAAAUCUCCCGGCUUAACUGGGAGGGUGCAUUAGAAACUGGAAUGCUAGAGGAUGGGAGAGGUAAGCGGAAUUCCUGGUGUAGCGGUGAAAUGCGUAGAUAUCGGGAGGAACACCAGUGGCGAAGGCGGCGACCUGGGCCAAUACUGACGCUGAGGUGCGAAAGCGUGGGGAGCAAACAGG